rnacentral:misc_RNA from 1 species
GAUGAAGAACGUAGCAAAAUGCGAUACUUGGUGUGAAUUGCAGAAUCCCGUGAACCAUCGAGUUUUUGAACGCAAGUUGCGCCCGAAACCAUCCGGUUGAGGGCACGCCUGCCUGGGCGUCACGCAUCGCGUCGUCCCCCAACAUACUCUCCCUUUCUGGGUUGUCAUGUUGAUUGGGGACGGAGAUUGGCCUCUCGUGCUUCUGGUGCGGUUGGCCUAAAUAGGAGGCCCCUUCGGUGGAUACACGGCUAGUGGUGGUUGUUAAGACCCUCGUAUUGUGCUGUGUGUUGUGAGCUGUUAGGGAAACCCUCACCAAAGACCCUAUUGUAUCGUCUUGGUAUGAUGCUUCGACCGCGACCCCAGGUCAGGCGGGACUACCCGCUGAGUUUAAGCAUAUCAAUAAGCGGAGGA